UUGGGUUUAUUUUUUUAUGGAUGCUGUGAGAAUUAUUUGAAAAGAAAUGUUGUAACAAUAAUGGAAGAAGGAUUUUCCCAAGAGUAGCUUGAGGCGUCCCUCUGCAUAAAAUUAUAUUUUAAGCAGGAAAUUAUUCUCUUUUCAUUUUAAAUGGAGCACAUUACAAUCAAAGACUGGAGUGUGCCUAAAUAAACUGAUGCUUAGUCAUAGCCACUUUAAUCCCUUUGAUAUGUUGACUUAUACAUGUCAGUCAUUAUCAUUAUCUUUCUCUGUUCUCAGUAGGUGGAUAGUAGAAACAAUGAUUAUCACCAAGCAGUAUCGUUGCAUACACUCAGCAAGCUGUCAAUGCACGAAAGGACAUCUUAGUGAAGAUGUGAUUUUCCUAGUAUUUCAACAAUUGAACUGGAACCCCAAGCUUAUUGCCACUCUGUCCUGUGUAUGCAAAUGGUUUAACGAUCUUGCCAAGCGAGUGCUAUGGAAGGAGUUUUGCCGAACAAGGGCUCCAAAGAUGAUGCUUGAUCUGCAAUCUAGUGGGAGUCAUAGUGUUGAUGGAAAUUGGAGGGCACUCGGGAAGCUUCUUAUUUAUUGUUCAGGAUGUAGCAAGGGUGGCUUGUUCAAUAGCAUUCAGAUCCCUGGCCACUUUGUUUACAGGACCAGGUUCUCUCGGACAUCAGGAAAGAGUUUUCUUUUGCCACAAUGCAGAACAGAUAUCUUGUAUGUAUCUGAUCCAUGCGAGCAUCUAGACCAAGGGGAGGAAGGGGAUGUAGGAUUUUUCCGUGGAGUUUUUAAGUCAUUCUCAAUGUCAAAGGUUAGGAAAAUGCUGAUUGAAAGGAGGGCCCAGCUUCAUCCAACAGAAGUAUGCCCUUAUUGCAAGGCAAAGUUGUGGAGCAUGCUGCAAGCCAAAAUGAUUCCACAGAGUGCCACCUGCAGAUUGGGUGCUUACGAGGAUUGCAUCGAGUAUUAUGUGUGCCUCAAUGGCCAUAUGCUUGGGAUUUGCACCCUCUUACCUUUGUCUGAUUCAGAGGAGGCAUCUGAGCGGGAGUAGUAGUUGGAAUAGAUCCCAGGUACUUACUUGCAGCAACCAUCUCAUGCAUAUCUUGUCAGUGAGGAAUUGGGAUGCUUAAAAAAAUCGUACUCAUCACUAUGCAGUGUUGCAGGCAAGGAUUUAGUGUCUGCUAAUGGAUUCUUACAAGAAUUUUAGAAAGUGAGACAUCCGAUAAGAUGGUCAGCCAACCUCAUUUUCUACAAGCUUGAAUCAAAUGAUCAGUCUGGUCUCGACUCCUGGGUCAAGUGCUCUCGAGUCUUGCUUGCUCCAACGAAAUGUUUCCUUGUGACGGGUUAGAAUUAUUGCUAACCGUUACUUUUCAAAACAUCCAUUACUCAACAGGUUAUGUCUUGUAAUACCCUGUGUUUAUGUAUGGUCAUUUUUGUGGAUGACAGUUUGGCCCUGCAAUAAUUCAUAUAGAUUUCCUGUUAAUGAUAAAUCAGUUGCCUUGUUGAUAUCCUCUGCAAAAAUUUCUUUUUAAGUAGGUGUGAAUUUCUUUUGCAACCCAAGCUCCAAGUUGCCAUGACGAUAAGUCUGCGGAUUCAAGUGUCACUUUCUGUUUUAUAUCUUAUUUAAUUUUUGUCGCCACGUUCAAAUUGCUUGACAAAAUACAGAGACGUAUUAAUGAGGGUUUGAACAUCGACCUUUUCUGAUAGUUUUGAGCCCACUCCAUUAUAUUAUGUUAUCCUUGCCACCAAGACCUUGCUAUAUUUAUGUUGAAAUGUCAUUGGGCACUGCCCAUCUCCAGUCUAUUUGGACAUGCUCAU